GUGCUCACUUUGGCAGCACAUAUACUAAAACUAGAAUAAUACAGAGGAGAUUAGUAUGGCCCCUGCACAAGGAUGACACUCAAAUUCUUGAAGUGUUCCAUGUUUUC
ensembl:snRNA U6 U6 spliceosomal RNA